AGGAGGAACGACUGCAGUGGUGGGGCCAGCUCUGGAAACUUGGAUUCAGCUCCGGCAGAAACUCCGGAGCUCUCCGUCUGCAGGGCCUGGAGGCUCCGGGUCACG
rnacentral:pre_miRNA from 1 species